rnacentral:rRNA from 1 species
UACGUAGGUGACCAGCGUUGUCCGGAUUUACUGGGCGUAAAGAGCGCGCAGGCGGUCGUUCAAGUCGAGUGUGAAAGCCCCCGGCUCAACUGGGGAGGGUCAUUCGAUACUGAUCGACUCGAAGGCAGGAGAGGGAAGCGGAAUUCCCGGUGUAGUGGUGAAAUGCGUAGAUAUCGGGAGGAACACCAGUGGCGAAGGCAGCUCUCUGGGACGGUACUGACGCUGAGACGCGAAAGCGUGGGGAGCGAACAGG